GGGACGAACGCUGGCGGCGUGCUUAACACAUGCAAGUCGAGCGGUAAGGCCCUUUCGGGGGUACACGAGCGGCGAACGGGUGAGUAACACGUGAGCAAUCUGCCCUUCACUUCGGGAUAAGCCUCGGAAACGGGGUCUAAUACCGGAUAUGACCGCGCUACGCAUGUGGUGUGGUGGAAAGUUCUGGCGGUGGAGGAUGAGCUCGCGGCCUAUCAGCUUGUUGGUGGGGUAAUGGCCUACCAAGGCUUCGACGGGUAGCCGGCCUGAGAGGGUGACCGGCCACACUGGGACUGAGACACGGCCCAGACUCCUACGGGAGGCAGCAGUGGGGAAUAUUGGACAAUGGGCGAAAAGCCUGAUGCAGCGACGCCGCGUGAGGGAUGA
rnacentral:rRNA from 1 species